UACGAAGGGGGCUAGCGUUGCUCGGAAUCACUGGGCGUAAAGCGCGCGUAGGCGGCUUUGUAAGUUAGAGGUGAAAGCCCGGGGCUCAACCCCGGAACUGCCUUUAAGACUGCAUCGCUUGAAUCCAGGAGAGGUGAGUGGAAUUCCGAGUGUAGAGGUGAAAUUCGUAGAUAUUCGGAAGAACACCAGUGGCGAAGGCGGCUCACUGGCCUGGUAUUGACGCUGAGGCGCGAAAGCGUGGGGAGCAAACAGG
rnacentral:rRNA from 1 species